GUGCUUUCGGAGCUGCUGCCUUGCAACGCUUGGGCAACGCAUUUGCAGGCUGGCCCGCGCGACGCAGAGCGGCGUCUCUCUCUCUCUCUCUUUCGGCUUCUGCCCUGCCCACGUUGAAGAAGGAAACAUGGGCUGGGCUGGGGCGGUGGAAAAGGGAAGGUAGGAGGCAGUCCGGCUCCAGGUUUGUUGGUUUGUUAUUCAGAACCCGCCUUUCAUUUCAGCGGAUCCCAAAAAUACAGAUGCUAUAACUCCCCGUUUCAAAAGUCAUGCAUCGUUCCAAAAGAAAACACUUAGCAAUAAGACCUGGGAAAACCGAAGAGCAGGUUGCUUGGUUAAUUACUGCACCGGAAUUUCGAAAAUGCCCCAGAUUUAGACAAGACACUCUUCACGGCCCCACAGUGGUGCGGUCAGGUAUUCUUAGACUGGAGGCAAUGGCUUUUCAGUCACUCCAACCCUUUUGAUGGUGAUGCAUAUUAUUUUGCUUCAAAAUCAAGGCCGGAUUAAGACAUUUAGAACCCCUAGGCGCUUAAAAGAUUUGGGUGUAGCCCAUGUAUAUCUAGUUCAAAAUAUAAACAAGAAUAAAUGGCAAAAUAAAAUUUCAUUUUUUGAUGUGAAACCUACAAUUGGAUGGAAAAUAAUGUUUAUUUUUGUAUAUUUGUAACAAUAAUUUUAUUUUUGUUGAGCUGCACCAUAUGGCCCAUGGUAAAUCUGACAAAGAAUUUAUGUGGUGCUCCCCUUUCCCUUGAUGUCCUAAGCACAUGCUCAUUUUGCUUAAUGGUUAAUCCAGCCCUGUUCAAAAUGUAAUAAGCCAACUCCGGAGUUUGGGGGCUGCGCUUCUUCACUUAAUGCCCAAAGUCCUGCCCUGAGGGCACCGCAGUCUCUUCACUGCUGUUAUCACCAGUCACUGCAGCUCUGCAUCAUCAACACUGCUAGCACCUGUCAUGUAUGACUUAGCUGAGAUUCCUGCCUCACAGGGGGUUGGACUAGAUGACCCUCAGGGUCCCUUCCAACACUUUGAUUUUGAGAUUUCCUGGCAGAGAGUAUUAAGCCCAUAAGAAAAGUUCUGUGGAUCCCAUCAAAGGAUGCCUCUGAGAAGCCCACAGGCAGGGUCUGAGCUCAACAGCACUUUUCUCAUUUGUGCUCCCCUGUGUACUAACUCUGAUAUUGGAGAUAGUACACAGACAUCAUGGCUAAUAGUGAUUGAGAGCCUUAUUGUCCAUGAAUUUGUCAAAUCCUCAUUUGUAGCCAUGCAGGUUACAUCACUACCUCUUGUGAGAGUGAAUUCCAUAGUUUAAAAAAUGUGCUCUAAAUCUUCCCAAAUCUUCCAGCAUUCCGUUUCAUUGGAUGACCCUGGGUUCCAGUAUGAAAAUGAGAGGAACAUGUAUUUCUGUUCACUUUCUCUCUAGACCAUGAAUGUUUUCUUCACCUUUUUCCAUGUUCCCCUUCACUUGCCUUUUUUCUAAACUCAAAAACUCAAAAUGUUUCAACCUUUCCUCAUAGGGAUGUUAUUCUAGACCCAUGAUUGUUUUGGUUGGCCUUUUUCUGAAUCUUUUCCAGCUCUACAAUGUUCUUUCUGAGGUGCAGCAAACAGAAUUGUACACAGUAUUCCUAGCCUGGCCAAACUAUGGAUUUGUACAGUGGCAUGAUAUUUGCAGUUUUAUUUUCAGUCACUCUCCUAAUUAUCCCCAACAUGGAAUCUUCCUUUUUCACAGCCGCUGCAUACUGAGUUGACAUUUACCUUCAUCCCGAUCGGACAAAUGAAGCCUGGUCACAAACUCAAAUCCCUUUUCUGAUCAAUCGCCAGUGAAUAUCAUUUGUUACUUGAAUUCCCAUAAUGCAGAAGUCCUUUGGGAGCUCCACCCAAUUUUUUUUUUCUUUCCACCCUGAACAGCUUGACCACUUCACUGCUCACUCCUACUCUAGGUUAUUUAUGAACAACUUUAAAAGUACCAAGGCCAAUACCCCACUUGUCGCAUCCAUCCAUUGGGAGAACUAUAUUUAGUUCUACUCUCAGUUUCCUUUAGUUAAUAGUUACUGACCUGUCCUCUUAUCCCAUGACUGCUAAGCUUACUCAGGAGUCUUUUAUGAGAGACUAUUGACAACUUCUUGAAAGUCACAAUGUCUACUGGAUCUCAUUCUUACUGACACUGUCAAAUAAUGCUAAACAGUUAAGUAGACAGCGCUUAUCCCUGCAGAAGCCAUGCUGAUUAUUCUUCAGCAAUAAUUGUUCAUCUAUAUGCUUGGUAAUUCAGUUUUUAAUUGUGUGUUCCACCAGUUUUCUCAGAACCAAUUAUAAGCUAUCAGCUCUAUCAUUUCCUAGAACCUCCACAUCCUUUUUAAAAAAUAAAUAAUUGGUGUUACUUUGGCUAUUUCUUCUUUUGCAUUGGAUUGAACUAAUUUGUUCUAGCCCAGCAAAAUCUCUUGACUGGAGCUCUUACACACAGGAAUCAUUAAAGCAGGAGUCGCCAACAUGCUGCAAUCAAAAUAUCAUGGACUACUUCUCCCAUCAGCUCCAGCUAGCAUUGCUAGUAGUCAGGGAUGAUGGGAGUUUGAGUCUAACAAUUUCAGAAAGCACCACAUUGACCACCUUUACAUUACAGGCUUUGCCAUCUCCCUAGGUUUGACUGGGCCAGUCCCUGCUGGUUGCUGCACCAGACCAUUAUUCCUAUGUAUUUUGUAUUUUUAAAUAGUAAAGCAAAGCAAAAAAAAGCACAGUAGGUGCAAGCAUUGCCCUGGUUUUGACAGGUUUCCUAGUUUUGCAAUUGUAUUUGAACACCAUAGUGCAGAACUAUAUCUGGAUACAGUUGUAACUUCGUUCUCGAACGCCUUGAUACUUGUACGUUUUGGCUCCCGAACACCGAAAACCCCGAAGUGUUCCAGGUUCUGAACGUCUGACGCAGCUUCCACGGCUUCUGCUUUGAGUGCAGGAAGCUCCUGCAGCCAAUCGGAAGCUGUGCCUUGGUUUUUGAACAUUUUUGGAAGUCGAACGGACUUCCAGAAUGGAUUACGUUUGAGAACCAAGGUACCACUGUAUUUCCUACCUAAUUCCUAGUUUUUUACACUAUUACACAGGUUAAAGGGACGUUUGCAACUUCCAGGAAAUGUAGUUUGAUAUUUAGGCAGCAAUCCUAUAACUACCGUAUUUUUCACCCUAUAGGACGCACCGUCCCAGAAGGCGCACCUAGUUUUUUUGGGGGGGAAAUAAAGGAAAAAAAAUAUUUCCCCCCCAGGCACAGGGCUGGGGCGGGGGAAGCCCGAGCUUCCCCCGACCCCAGCCCCCAAACAGGCAGCUCUCUGCAAGCCGUGGGAGCCCAGCGCUGGCUCCCGCUGCUUGCGGAGAGGUCCGCGAAGCCUGGACGCGCUGAGCUCAGCGCGCGCAGGCUUCAGCAUGCAGGCAACUCUCCGCAAGCAGCGGGAGCCCAGCGCUGGGCUCCCGCUGCUUGCGGAGAGGUGCGCGAAGCCUGCAUUCGCCCCAUAGGACACACACACAUUUCCCCUUCAUUUUUGGAGGGGGAAAAGUGCGUCCUAUAGGGCGAAAAAUACGGUACUUACCUAGGAGUAAGCCCCAUUGAACUCAGUGGUACUUACAUGCAUAGGAUCGUACUGCAUGUCUCCCAGUACAUAAAACAGGUUCAUAGCCUUCCACCCUAUCCAGGACUCGUUCAUCAUCUUGGUGCAAUUUAUCUUGGUUUGGUGGCUGCAGAGUCUCUACAGAUAAACACAACAGAGGAAAAACAGAUGAAUCAGAUCUUUGACAGCCAUAAUGGGUUCAAGGUAGCAUUAUGUAAACAUUAUUAAGUGCAAUAAACACAUGUCAGCAUUAGACACUCUUGUGUGGAUGAGCCAGUAAGAGUUACCGUGAACUUCUUAGUCAUAAUGUCUUUCUAACUUUAUGUAGAUAGUAUAAUAGCAGUUCAAGCAGUGCUGCAGCCUUGACGGGAAAUCUUUACCCUGUAAUAGAUAGGCCAGGUCUGAAAGAGUGCCACUGGAAGACUGUACGCUUUCAUUCAUAUAGAUGCUGCGCAUUUGUCGGACUGACAGGGAGGCCGGCCACCAGCUUUUUGCAGUGUAAUUACUAGUAGAGCAGUGUUUUAGAGGCCCUGAUUGCUUCCGCCCAUCCGGAAAACAGGUGAGGUGUGAGAGUUUUAACGUGAAAUGUAGAACUGUUUCCUGAAUGGUGAUUUUUAACUCUGCUGAAAUAGGUAUUUUUGCAUUCUUACACAAGUAAGAAGAGGGAGGAUAAAUGUCAAGGUUCAGGGAAUCCGAUCUUUCCCAUGCUGGACAAUCAAGAAUUGGAAUCAGGAGUCAGCAAAUUUUUUCAGCAGGAGGCCGGUCCACAGUCCCUCAGACCCCGUGGGGGGCCGGACUAUAUUUUGAAGAAAAUAUAUUUUAUUUAAAUUUUGUAAAUUUUAUUAAAUGAUUUUGUUUAAAAUGCAUCUGUGGGUUAUUUGUGGGGCAUAGAAAUUUGUUCAUUUUUUUCUCUCCAAAAUAUAGUCCAGCCCCCCACAAUGUCUGAGGGACAGUGGACCGGCCCCCUGCUGAAAAAGUUUGCUCUAUAUGUUGUUGUACACCAGCUCCCAUCAUCUCUGGCCACUGACCAGGCUAUCUGAGGCUGAUGUAAGUUGGGAGUCCAACAAUUUCUGGAGUGCCACACAGGUUCCCCACACCUGCCCUAGGCACCCUAAGAAAGUUUACAGCCUUCUACUUGAGGCGCUUCACUUUCCCCUCUUGCACUAGCCAUUUUCCGCUACUCCAACAGCAGGAAGUUCCACAAAUUAACACUUAGUCCUCCAGACGAAGCUAGGGACUGGUCUACUAUUGUGCUACAUCUUGCAAAUUUCAAUCCUUCCACGCCAAAUGCUCCAAAAGGAAAAUGUAAGUAGACAGCAUUUUAUUAUGUUGUCUGUCAGUUUGCUUUUUAUUAUGUUUAUAACAUUGAUGUACUGUAAUGUGUUUUUAAUGUUGUACAACACCCUGGGAUCUUUGGAUAAAGAGUGGUAUAUAAAUAGAAUAUUUAUAAUAAAUUGGAUAUUUAUAAAAAUUAAUAAUAAAUUGAAUAUUUAUUAUUAUUAUUAGUAGUAGUGGUGGUAGUAUUACUCCUGUUCCUUUUUCUAUUUCUUCCUCACCUCCAUCACAAACACAGGUUGGGGGUGUUUUAAAUGCCCCCUUCUCAAGAUUAAGUGUUUUAGUGACAAGGCCAGAUUUGAAUCAGCAGUCUGGCCCCACCCCUUGAUAAUGAUUGACAGGAGGGGGUGGAGACAGAGUGGAGAAAUUAGGGCAGUGCAGCUGGUAGGUGAGUGGGCUUUGGGAUCAACAUUCAACCCCCAUAGUGGGGAAUCUCAAGCCCAAAGACCAAUAGCGGCCCUCUAAACCUCUCCACCUGGCCCUUGGAUCUCUCUCUCCAGGUCAUACCUCUCCCCGGCUCUGCUCUGCACCCUCCCUGAGUGUUUUUGCCCAGAUAGACUGUGUACCUAAGUACUGACAAUGCCUACUACUUGUCUGGAUGGUGGACACAGAGGAAUGGGUGGAGCUAAAAUACUGUGCAAAGGUUCCAUUUUCAUUUGUUGCUCCACCCACUUUGCCUCUGGCUUCACCCUUCAUUGAUAUAUGGCCCUCAGAAGGUUCUGCAGAAAGGAAUGUGGCCCCUGGUCUAAGAAAGGGCCCCCACUCCAGCUCAAACCCUUUCUACACACACACAUAAAUAAAAUCGGGACAGAACUAAAUUCUCUAUGUUCUCUCUCCCCCUGACACAUGUGCACAGUGCCAAAUUUGAUGACCCCUUUGCUAGCUGAGACUAAUGGCCAAUAUUUAAUAUGAUGUAACAUGUUUUCUUCUUUCUUCGUUUUCCAUCACACUUCCAGUCAUGCCAAACCAGAUUUCCUAACCCUGGUCUCUCUUCCAGCUGCUGAUCUAGUAUGGGGAAGAUUCCUAUCUCGCUUCUUUCCCAUUCUGGGUUCUGUGAUUAUUUAAAAACUGUAAUUGCAUUAGAGAUGUAGAAAACAUAGCACGGAAAACCUGGCUCUGGUACCAGUGAAAAUGGAUACUUGGUUAAAUGCAGGCUAGCUGUUCUCUCAGUUCAAAUCCCUUUAAGGCAUGGCAGCUCUCAUCAAACACAAACAUUUUCAUUUUAAUACCAGAAAUUAAAUGAUUAGGACAGCUCAAUUAACUUCUAUUGUUACAACUAGAACAUAGGGAUAAUAACAAUAAUUUAGCUUAUUUGAGGCAUGGGCCAGGGCCCGUUGCAGACUAACCUGGGAUCACCAAAUUAAUUUCACUUCAGACAUUUGCUCGUAGAGAUGAGAAGCGCAAGUAAGUGAUUUCACCAUUAUGAAUCCCUGUAGUGCUCUUAUCUUUGUUAAGCCCCUUUUAUUCGCAGCUAGAACUUGAGUGUGACAUCCAAAAGUAUAGCAAAAGAAGUUAAACAAGAAAUAAUUGAUCAAAGGAGCUUUUGCCAAGGAUGUUAGAAAGUGGCGUAAUCACUCGUUUCCACAGAAUCAGAUAUUAGCAUAUUCAUUUGCGGGCUAGUUUUUAAAUCACCACAAUAGGUAUAUAUUAAAAUAAUUGUUAAUCUUGCAGGAAUACAGUGAAAUUGCCCUUAAAUACACACUUCGGGAGCAAAUUUCCUUUGAGGGCACUACACAGCAAUAUUUUGACAACUUAAUUGAUUCACAGAUCCACACUGGCGUCAAUUCCAUUGGCAAUUUUUACUUUAAUUAUUCACAAGGCACCAAUUGCCUUAAGAAGUUGGUAGUUUAAUUCCAUGUUUCUAUACAAUCUUAAUUACAGUUUUUAAAUAAUCACAGAACCCAGAAUGGGAAAGAAGCGAGAUAGGAAUCUUCCCCAUACCAGGUUAGUCUGCAACGGGCCCUGGCCCAUGCCUCAAAUAAGCUAAAUUAUUGUUAUUAUCCCUGUGUUCUAGUUGUAACAAUAGAAGUUAAUUGAGCUGUCCUAAUCAUUUAAUUUCUGGUAUUAAAAUGAAAAUGUUUGUGUUUGAUGAGAGCUGCCAUGCCUUAAAGGGAUUUGAACUGAGAGAACAGCUAGCCUGCAUUUAACCAAGUGUCCAUUUUCACUGGUACCAGAGCCAGGUUUUCCGUGCUAUGUUUUCUACAUCUCUAAUGCAAAGAUGAGAAACUUGUGGCUGUUCAGAUUUUGUUGGACUCUCAGCUCUCAUCAGUCCCAUCCAGCCUCAUCAAUAGUAGUCCAACAACACCUGGAGGGGCUACCCUGUUUUAAAGAAAUGGAACCACUUGGGUGCAAGGCAUAUUCUGUAAAUGCCCUGGGUUCAAACAAACGAAUGAAUGAAUGGCAGGCAGACAGGACAGAAGCAAUAACUUUUAAUCCCCCCCCCCCGUCCAAAUCUGGGACAUUUGCAGACUGCUUUUAUUGGUAUUUGGCUAGCUUCUGUCAGAAAAUAGAAUACUGACUAGAGGAAACAUUGGUUUGAUCUAACAAGACAAUGAUGUUGAUGGAUUUUAUCCUACUCUUCAGCCACAAAAAGUGAAUGGAAGUGAUAAUGCAAUCCCUACCCUCAGGUUUACAGUGUGUGUGUGUGUGUGUGUGUGUGUGUGUAUGCAUAACACAAAAGGAAAAGGGACUGGUAGGGAGGAACUGCAAAGCUAGCUCAGGCACUGUUUCUUAAGUUACGGAAUUUUUGUAGUGACCAGAUAGGAGAAAGAACAGAACAGAAUAGAAUAGAAUACUCAUCUUAAAAUUCCUCAGCAUAGCAUAUAAGCAAGGAAGAGAGUAUUACUGAUGCAUAGGAUGGUCUUUAAAGCCAUUAUAUCCACAGCAUACAUUUAAGCACAUUUAUGCUUUAAUUCCCCCCCUCAAAUAAUUCUGGGAACUGUGGUUUGUUAAGAGUGCCCAGAGGACAUCCCUUACAGAGCUAUAGCUUUCAGAUGUCCACUAAAGGUCACAGAAUGGGCUGUUUCUUCUUAUUUUAUUUUUUUAAUGAUAUUUAUUAAAGUUUCAAAGAAAAGAUUACAUAGAUAAACAGAAAAGAAAAAGAAAAAGAAAUAAAAAAGAAAAAAUACAAAUUACAGAAAAAAGAUAAAAAAACACUUAAAAAACACAUCGAUCUUUCCAUACCUUACAUUUCAUUUCCUUACUUCCCUGACUUCCUCACACCUCCCCUUUUUGUAUUCCCGUUUACAAAAUCCUUUCAGCAAAUCCUUACCCUCUUUCAUUUAUCUUUACUCUGUAUCUUAACCUAUUAUAACUAUAUAUUUUCAUCCAUAUAACUAUCAAUAUUUACAUAUUCUUGUUAACCUUAUUACCAAAACCACUUAUUUUCAGUCCAACAUCAUUUUAACAUUCAUUAAUUUUACAGUAUUUCUGCAAAUAGUCUUUAAACUUCUUCCAAUCUUCUUCCACCAACUCUUCUCCCUGGUCUCGGAUUCUGCCAGUCAUUUCCGCCAUUUCCAUAUAGUCCAUCACCUUCAUCUGCCAUUCUUCCAAAGUGGGUAAAUCUUGUGUCUUCCAAUACUUGGCAAUAAGUAUUCUUGCUGCUGUUGUAGCAUACACAAAAAAAGUUCUAUCCUUCUUUGGCACCAAUUGGUCAACUAUACCCAAGAGGAAGGCCUCUGGUUUCUUCAGGAAGGUAAAUUUAAAUACCUUUUUCAUUUCAUUAUAGAUCAUCUCCCAGAACGCCUUGAUCUUUGGGCACGUCCACCAAAGGUGAAAAUGGGCUGUUUCUUCUUAAACGCCAGAGCCCCAACUCAUGAUAGGAUUAUUUUUGAGCGUUCAGUUGUUCAGCUUACAUAUUUGUAAAUAAACUCAAAUAUACACUUAUUUUCUCAUCUGGAUAAGACUUCAAUUUUCUGAAGGAAGGCUUCCUUCCUCUAAUAUCUUUCCUCUGCUUGCUAACCACGCAAGUAUCCUGUUGGCCUUGGUGGUGCUUUUCCUGAUCUGCAGUGUACCUUUCAGCUUAGCUUCUGUGAUUGUGGUUUUUGAGUGUCUCCCAAACAUCCUGGAUAAAUUUAGCUCCCUUGACUCUUUGGGAAAGCACCCACAACAACAUUCUUCUAUGUAUUUGCCCAUAGUUCAUUUUAGAACUGAAAUACUGAUAUAGAUUCUAUUUUAUUUUGGGGGUGUCCACUUUGUAUUCCUCUCUUCUGUAAAACUUCAGAUAUAUAAUACUCAUACCCUCCAACACUUUGAAGCCAAAAUCUGAGUCACCGUCUUACCAUUUCUUGCGAGAGCAAUGGCAGCCAUUUUGGUUACCACAAUCUCACAUGAUUUCACCCGCCCACCCUGCCCCAAAAAAGGACUUUUGGGGAGCAUGGCCCCCCAAAACACACAUUCAGGGCACCGCACAAGAUCGCAGCCUCAAAAAAAGCAUUUUUGGGGGGCGGGGAGAAGAAUCACACUGCAAAUUCAUGUGAUAUUGCGAUGAUCAAAAUGGCCGCUGUUCCCUCACGUUAAAAAACACUGGGUGUCCCAGUUUUUCCAGGACACUUGCAGGGCAUGUAAUCAUUCAUUCAUUGCAUUAAUAUCCUACCUUUUUUUUCUCCAAAGAGCUCAAGGUGGCAUACAUGGUCUCCUCCUGGACUCAUUUAAUCCCCACAACAAUCCUGUGAGGUAAACUAAGCUGAGAGGAUAUGACUGGCCUAAGGUCAUCCAGUGAGCUUCAUGGAUUUGAACCUUGGUCUCUCAGGUCUUAGUCCAACAUUCAAACCAAUACACCGCAAACUAUUUACUUUGCUAAGCUGUGCUGACUCCCCCCCCCCCCCGGCCCAUCUUUUUCUGUUUCAGUGGAUUAUAUUUUAGUAAACUGGAUAAAUGGGUGUAUUCUGAAUAUGACUAGCGUCGUAUGGAUUUGCUUGUUUCUGAGAUAUUGUGACCAGAACUCUGACUAUUGAACAACCAGAUAUGGAUGCGCCAGUUGAUUUAAAUGUAUGGCCUGCUUUAUGCACAAGGCUUCUGUACAUAUAAGCAUACUUCAGAACAGACAAAUAUGUAUACGUUAUACAAUAAAAACCACCUGUUGCCGAUCUAUAUUCUAUUGCCGACAGGGUGAAGCAGAACAAUCGGGUGCCUUGUGACCCUCAACAGCCUCACUCCUGUCCCUUUUAAAUUUAUCUCACGGAUCUGAAAUAUCUUAACUUGUAUUAUUUUUUUAAUAAAUUUUUAUUGGAAAUUUUAUUUACAACAUAACAUGAACUCCCCACCCCCAAUAAAGAAAUCCACCCUUAUUAAACAUGAACAUAACAUACAAUAAGCAUAACAUACAACAAUACAAACAACCAAAUAAAAGACUUCCUUUAUCCUGUAUUUAAGUUAUAAUUAGAAAAAUCUUAAAGGAAACAGCUUAUAAGAAGUAAAUAAGGAGGCCAGAUGCCAGAUACUGAAAUGUCUUAACUUGUAAUGCCAAUAAAGGGAUUUGUAUUGUAUUGUAUUGUAUUGCUUCUCAGGACCAUCCUUCCAGCCAUGGCUGGGCUGUUGUAAUAUCUUCCUAGAAUACCAGCAAAAUGUCCUGGUCACAAAAAGUGAUGGCCUGGUCAUAAUUUUGAAAACGGAACGGGUUUUGCUGAGUUGUCGUGUAUGUGUGUAUUUGAAUAGGGGACAUGGAGGGAAGGGAUGUCUUAAAAUAAAAUGAGAGAGAGAGAGUCUCAUGGGGAAAACGAACAAGAGAAGCGAGGACGAAGGGACGUGGAUGAAGCUCUCCAAUACUAAUAAAAGGCUUCAUUCACCUCAGGCCCAGAGCAAAAAGUGCUGUACUUGCACCUUGGUAUUAAACAAUAAAAGAAACAAGAGAGGCCUGUCAUUCAGGGAGAAGAUGCGCCUCUGACUUCCAUUCAGUCUGAUGUGGAUAAAAAAGGGAGGGAAAAACCUGGGGAGGAGAGGGUUUGAUUAAUGAGCUUUUGUGGUUGUUUGUAACCAAGUUCACCCCUAUUUUGUCCACAUUAAGGUAACCCCGUUUCAGACUAACUGCUAAAUGUUUAUAUUGCAACUAGCUGCUAAAUGUUUCUUUCUCAUUGCUCUGCUCCAUGCUGGCUUCAUAGAUUUAGGCACGUGGCUGAUAAGGUAAAAAUAUUCACCUGGGUUAUUAUCUUAGCUUUCAAAAACAAUGAAGAGAAAAAGUACAUAAUAAAACAUUUGCAUGUCAUUUGUGUAGGGUUUUUUUUAAAUGAAGGUUUCAGAAUAGUCUGAAGGAAUUGUAUAGGGCAAAUGUAUCUACCAUCUUGUUUUCACCUUUGCAGAUAACAAUAAUCAAUAAUAAUAAAUAUUAAUAAAAAUAAAUAUUUAUUUAUACCCCUCCCAUCUGGCUGGGUUUCCCCAGCCACUCUGGGCGGCUACUCUUGUGUAUCCUACAUAGAAUUCCUUAAUAGUUUUCUGUGGGUUUCUGGGUGGCUGCUGCAUUUGACAACCAAAAUGGAAGUUCUUUCCAGACAUUUUCCUGGACAGUUACAUAAAAUUUGCAACAAUCCAGCUCCCUGACAGAAUUGCCCUACAAUAAGAGACACUUGCCAGAUGGCCUCAAUUCGUGAGAAAUAUGUGUUUCUAAUGCACACACGUCAAAACCAAUUCAGCAUGCAAUUUUAACCUUGGGGAUUUGACUGUUUUUUCCGACAGAAUCUGUUGCUGGUGGAGACGAAAACAUUAUUGAAAAUGCUGAACCGCUACAUAGAGGAACAGGUCAAGACAAACAAACAGGGUCAACUUACUCAGUGAGGUCCUACCUAUUCAGUUUCCUUUUGAGGAGAAUUUUCAGGGAUGGAACUAGAGUGUCAUCUUUUCAUGUGUGAAAGGUAUGUGUAUCUACCAUCAAAGGCACAUUGAAAGUGGUCCAGUACAAAAAGCUCAUUGCGCAACAACUGAACUAUCAACCGCAGCCUACCUAAAAGCCUGAAAUCUCUAGCCUGCUUCAAGGCAACAUAUAACUCAAGCAACAAAGACCAGAAGUGCGGAGGUGUCUAUUCUUGCAGGCAUAGCUUUGAGCAAAAGAGCGUAUUGCAUAAUCACAGCUUAUUGCAUAAUCACUGCCUUUAUAAAAAGGCAGAUAUAAGUGUAGAAAGAAUGAAGGCAAUGGGAUUGAGGGUUAAGCCACUGGUGAUGUAACACAGUGAUACCCCACAGCUGGCUAAGGAACAUAAUUUAAAAAGAGGAAAAGCGUCACCAAAGCAGAUGGCACAAAUUUGCAUAUAAUCUACAUAUGGUAAUUAGUACUUACGGAUGUACAUUUAUAAGUAAUUACUGUACUUUCAAAGGAAAUGUGAUACAUCUCAUCAUGACUGUGACCUGUUUUGUUGUUCAGUCUGCUAUAUAGGUGCUAACCGUUGAUGCCUCUUUAUGUCUCUCCUUCCCACUUCUUAAAGGUUUAUCCUUAAACGAAACUUGAACAGAAUAAGCCAGAGUUGACGGAUUGAAAUCUUCUAUGUAAUUGAAGUCACGUGUAGUAGACAGCCCUUCUUUUAACCAGCUAAAGAUUUUGUCUUUUUCGAAGGUUCCAGAAGGGGUGUUCUUCAGCCUAUUUUAAAAGUGAUUUAUUGCGCCUUGGCUUGAAGUUGCUUGUGAUGAGGGGCAAGCAGAAAUGCUCUAAAUGUAUAAAUAUCCAAAUGUAUGGUACAGCAUGAAGUACCCACUUGUGCGGCUUAAAAACAGAGUGUCUUACUGAAAAUUAAAGCUACAACAAAUGCUUGUUUUUAAGUGAUCAACCAUUACUUUUGGUAUUACAAGCAUGUGUAUAUAGAUCCCUUAUAGC